rnacentral:rRNA from 1 species
AGAGUUUGAUCAUGGCUCAGAUUGAACGCUGGCGGCAUGCCUUACACAUGCAAGUCGGACGGCAGCACGGGGGCAACCCUGGUGGCGAGUGGCGAACGGGUGAGUAAUACAUCGGAACGUGUCCUGGAGUGGGGGAUAGCCCGGCGAAAGCCGGAUUAAUACCGCAUACGCUCUAUGGAGGAAAGCGGGGGACUUUCGGG